rnacentral:rRNA from 1 species
UACGUAGGGGGCUAGCGUUGUCCGGAAUCAUUGGGCGUAAAGAGCGCGUAGGCGGCCCGGUAAGUCCGCUGUAAAAGUCAAAGGCUCAACCUUUGAAUGUCAGUGGAUACUGCCGGGCUAGAGUCCGGAAGAGGCGAGUGGAAUUCCUGGUGUAGCGGUGGAAUGCGCAGAUAUCAGGAGGAACACCAACGGCGAAGGCAGCUCUCUGGUACGUGAUUGACGCUGAGACGCGAAAGCGUGGGUAGCAAACAGG